rnacentral:rRNA from 1 species
AUGAAGCUUCCGGCGGCGGCCCUGUUGCCCUUUCUGUUGCAGCUCUCCCUCGUGGCCGCGGCCGCGGCUCAGGUCACCGGAGCUGCGCCGGGCUGCCCGACCAUCUGCGCUGGCGUGAGCGUGCCGUACCCAUUCGGCAUCAGGGAAGGGUGCUACUUGGAGGGCUUCAACCUCACCUGCGACCGGACGAGCGGCCAAGAGCGGCUGCUCAUCGGCGGCGCCGGGAGCACCCUCGAGGUCAUGGAGAUCUCGCUGGCCAACUCCACGGUGCGCGUCAGGAACACCGCUGGCGCCGUGCAGCUCGAGGGCAGCAGGGUAAGCGGCCCUACCCGAGCCGUCGGCAGGUGGGGCGGCCUUGGCGCCGGCGCCGGCGGCGGCCCGUUCGUGGUGUCGGCGUUGCUCAACAGGUUCGUGCUCACCGGGUGCAACGUGCUGGCCAAGCUGAUCGGGGACAGGGACAACGUCAUCGUCGGCUGCUCCGCCUUCUGCGCCGUCACCGACGGGUUGGACAACACCGUCUCCGCCGAGGACGUCGCCGAGUGCGCCGGCGUCGGCUGCUGCAAGACGCCCAUCACCAUCGGCCGUCCCUACUACCGCGUCAAUUUCACGGGGAUGGACCCGGCCCAGGAGAUGGACUCGUUACUGCGUGAAGCUCUGGUGCGCGUCGCCGAGACGGACUGGUUCGGCACGUCGGCCGCGCGCGCCAACUCCUCCCGCGGGGCGGCGAUGCCCCUGGUGCUGGAGUGGGUGGUGGACUCCAAGCGGCUCCGGCAAGCUGAGGAUCCCCCGGGGUGGGCGGCGACGGGCUGCCCCAAUGACGCGGGGACGAGCGAGUGCCGGAGCAGCCACAGCUCAUGCAGCAAUGUCACCAACAACUACCGCACUGGCUACGUGUGCCGGUGCAAGGACGGGUACCAGGGCAACCCAUACCUCGCCGGCGCCGGCGGAUGCCAAGACGUCGACGAGUGCGCGCAGACUGAUAAGUUCAUGUGCUCCGGCGUAUGCACCAACACGCCCGGAGGGUACCACUGCGUGUGUCCGCCCCGCUCCCGUGGCAACCCUCGGAUCAGAGAUGGCUGUGUCAAAUCAUCUCUAAGUCUAGGUUUAAGUAUCGGCAUAGGAAUCGGCAGUGGUGCCGCCCUUCUUUUCUUGGUGCUUGGUGCCAUUUUUGUGACCCAGAAGCUGAAGCGUCAAAGGGCAAAAGUAUCCAAGCAGAAAUUCUUUAAGCAAAACAGGGGACAUCUACUAGAGCAAUUGGUGUCGCAGAAGGCAGACAUAGCUGAGAGGAUGAUCAUCCCCUUGGUGGAGCUCGAGAAGGCCACCAACAACUUCGACAAAGCUCGUGAGAUCGGUGGAGGAGGGCAUGGCAUGGUGUACAAAGGGAUCAUGUCAGACCUUCACGUCGUGGCGAUCAAGAAGUCCAAGGUCGUAAUCCAGAAGGAAAUCGAUGAGUUCAUCAACGAGGUGGCAAUCCUCUCGCAGAUAAAUCAUCGGAACGUGGUGAAGCUCUUCGGGUGCUGCCUCGAGACAGAGGUGCCGUUGCUAGUAUACGAGUUCAUCUCCAACAGGACACUUUACCAUCACCUUCAUGUCGAAGAACCUGAAGCUUCAUUGCCAUGGGUGGAGCGGCUAAGAAUUGCAACAGAGACCGCAAGAGCUCUCGCGUAUCUUCACUCGGCUGUGUCAUUCCCUAUAGUCCACAGGGAUAUCAAGUCUCAAAACAUUCUGUUAGAUGGCACUCUCAUAGCAAAGGUGUCAGAUUUUGGAGCUUCAAGGUGCAUCCCGCUAGAUCAAACAGGGGAUGAAACCGCCAUUCAAGGGACAUUUGGGUACCUAGACCCUAUGUAUUGCUACUCAGGACAGCUCACCGAGGAGAGCGAUGUUUAUAGCUUCGGCGUGCUCCUAAUGGAGCUGCUCACCAGGAAAAAACCAUGCUCAUAUCGAUCAUCCGGGGAGAAAAGCCUCGUCGCCUAUUUCACCAGUUUGCUAGCAGAAGGUGACCUCUCAAGUGUGUUAGACCCUCAGGUCAUGAUGGAAGGUGGCAAAAAGAUUGAAGAAGUAAUUAUGUUGGCAGCGGCAUGCGUCAGGAUGGAAGGAGGUCAACGACCAUCCAUGAGGCAAGUGGAGAUGACACUUGAGAGUCUUCAAGUACCCCAUGAAAAUGUUGUGAUGGGUGUUAUUGAUGCACAAGGUUAUACAAUGAUUGAAGGCGGAAGCACGGAGGAGGUUAGCAGACAAUAUAGCCGGGAAGAAGAAUAUUUGUUCUCAUCAAGGUGCCCGCGGUAG